rnacentral:rRNA from 1 species
GAUGAACGCUGGCGGCGUGCCUAAUACAUGCAAGUCGAGCGAACGGACGAGAAGCUUGCUUCUCUGAUGUUAGCGGCGGACGGGUGAGUAACACGUGGAUAACCUACCUAUAAGACUGGGAUAACUUCGGGAAACCGUAGCUAAUACCGGAUAAUAUUUUGAACCGCAUGGUUCAAAAGUGAAAGACGGUCUUGCUGUCACUUAUAGAUGGAUCCGCGCUGCAUUAGCUAGUUGGUAAGGUAACGGCUUACCAAGGCAACGAUGCAUAGCCGACCUGAGAGGGUGAUCGGCCACACUGGAACUGAGACACGGUCCAGACUCCUACGGGAAGCAGCAGUAGGGAAUCUUCCGCAAUGGGCGAAAGCCUGACGGAGCAACGCCGCGUGAGUGAUGAAGGUCUUCGGAUCGUAAAACUCUGUUAUUAGGGAAGAACAUAUGUGUAAGUAACUGUGCACAUCUUGACGGUACCUAAUCAGAAAGCCACGGCUAACUACGUG